GCUGGGCAUGGUGGCACAUGCCUGUAAUCCCAGUGUCUGGGGAGGCUGAGGCAGAAGGAUUACGAGUUCAAAUCUAGCCUCAGCAACUUAGGCACUAAGAAACUAUGAGACCUUGUCUCUA
rnacentral:sRNA from 1 species